rnacentral:rRNA from 1 species
CUUUUCUUGUAAGUAAUUUGAAGUAUAACCUGCCCAAUGAAUAUUUUAAUGGCCGCGGUAUAUUGACCGUGCAAAGGUAGCAUAAUCAUUAGUCUUUUAAUUGAAGGCUGGAAUGAAUGGUUGGACGAGAUAAAGACUGUCUUUAUAUUAAGAAUUUGAAUUUAAUUUUUGAGUAAAAAAGCUUAAAUUUUUUUUUGGGACGAGAAGACCCUAUAGAGUUUACAUAUAUUUAGUUAUUAUUAAGGUUUGAAAAAAUUAUGAGGAUUUAAUAUAUUUUAUUGGGGUGAUAGAUAGAUACAAAUAACUCUUUUUAUUUAUUUAAUAUUUAUUUAUAGUUAAAUGAUCCAUUAAUAUUGAUUAAAAGACUAAAUUACC